ensembl:lncRNA
UUAAUAAUACAAGUUAACAAAGCGUAGUAAUUACUCAAACACUAGCACUGUAAAUCUGAUUCCUGUACGAGACUCAAGUUCACCAUGACAGCAAAUAUUUGGGUUUCAUUCACCUUAAUAGAGAGCAGAGUGAGUAACACUGAGGGUGUGUGUGUGUGUGUGUGUGUGUGUGUUCGUGUUCACCUGUUCUGAGUGGGCGGGGUCUCUGGGCGGUUCAGGUGCGGGGCCAUUUUCUUCUCCUCAGUGUUUCUCUGAAUCAGUGACGGACUCGAGCUCACAGUCAGCUGCCGCUAAAACUGAAAUCAUGAAAUCACGCUGAUUUAAAUCCCCGCGGAUACAAUCACUCUCCUCACAAUCAUGAAGAAAGGAUCGCUCAAUUUCCUGGGUCGGAAGAAUCAGUCUCUAUUCGGCACCAAUGUGGAGUUCAAGGACAUGGAUCAAGUGGAGCUGGUGUUGGACUCAGCUGCCAUCCCCGAGUCUGGAACCGCUAAAGUGCGCUCACGUCCUACUGUCAAACACUUCACGUCGUCUGAGAGUGUGCAAGGCUUUGCAGUUCCAACACCCAAGGUACCAGUUCUUCCGCCAUUCAACGAGCCCAAGAUAAAUGGUACAGGAAGUACUACAAACCUCCCAAAUGGAAGGAUGCUUUCCGUCCCUGACCUCCUCCAGGGGGAAAUAUUUAUACCGCCUCCGCCUGGCUCCGCCCCUCCACCCCCUCCUUCUUUUUCAGCCCCGCCACCUCCAUCAUUCAUCCCUCCCUCACCACAGUUCUCUGGCAAAAUGGACCCUUCUUUAGACCGUGCAAGCCUGCAUCCCCCUCCAAUGGCACCCCCAAAACCGCCAUCAAUAACCAGUUCUGAUUACAGUGCAGAUUUAGACUUGGCCUCCCUCAAACCUCCUCCAAUGCCUCCUCCAAAACCUCCAUCGGAAACAACCAGCUUCAGAGGUUCUCUCUCUAGCCUUGAUGUUCAAGAUAUCCCAGAUUGCCCCAAGUUCACCCCACCUCCACCCCCGAUGAAAGCAUCACCUGUUCUUUCAAAAGCUCAGAAAACAGCACCUCCAAAACCCAUCCGAAUGUCCUCCAUACCAAAUCUGGACAUCGUGUCCCAAGCUCCUGUGCCAUCUGUUGCUUCAAACACAACACCAUCUAGCUUCAACCCCCAGAACACAGCCAAACUCUACAGCGUGCAGAAGAGCACACUACUUGGCGGGCAGACAGAAAGGGAAAAAAAGGCCCAGUCCAUCCUGCUGCUGGAAGAUUCUGCUGGAAACACGGUUGGUGUAGUCAAUGGGAAUAGUGGGAAAAAUCCUGGAUCUUUCCAAUCUGAGGUGCCACCAACCAAACCAGCCCGCAGGAACAGCUCUGCCUCUCAUCUACAGGAUGACCAGCCAGACAUGGCACAAGCACCAAGUGAACCAGCCAAGGUAGAGCCCAAAAUAAAUCCUGAGCCUGUACUGACACAGAACAUCCCCACUGAGGUACCAGCACCAAUCAAAGUCUCGCCCAAAAUAGAGAAAAGGAUACCUGAUGUUAGGCAGGUGGUGACCCCAGUUGCAUCCCCUGGCAGGCCUCGCAAGUACAGCCCUAUCUUGAACCACCGACAUCUCAACACACGGGGCGUAGAUGGCUCAGUAAAGAAAGAGACCUCAACUUCACCUUUGGCUUUGCUGAUGGCUGCAAAGGAAAGAGAUAAGCAGAGAACUGCUCUGUCCCAACAGAACAGUAACUCAACAGAGCCAGUCAGUUCUGUGAUCCAACCUAGUGAAGAAAAACCAAACUCCUUCACCGUCAUUCCUCGAAACUCAACACCAGAUAGUCCCAAUGCACAAUUAAAGUCCACCACAAACACGCAACCACUCACCUCGCUAUCAACCAAAGUCGACGUUCCAGAUAUAUCCCACUCAAAGCCAGAGCUAAGCUCAACCCCUCUACGAAGCCCAAUGAAUAGCUUGGUAAGUGGAAUGGGUGUUCCUGUUAGAGGUGUGGAAAUUGGAGAAGACUUGGUCUUCAUUCCACCGCCUCCUGAAUUUGCCAACUCGGACUCUGAGGAGGAACCUCCAGUUCCCCCACCAAGUCACCCCGCUCCUGCUCCGCCUGUGAAAAGUGCCCCUCCACCUGCUAAAACCUUCUUACCUUCUACACCUGCUACAUUCAUCAACUGCCCCCCUCCAAGUCACCCGGCUCCUGCUACCCCUGUAAAACCUGCCCCUAAACCUUCUAAACCCUUAUCUACUCCCAUCAUAAAUGGUCCCACGCCAAGCCAUACUUCUUUUGCUUUUCCACCUGCCAAACCCUCCCUACCUCCGACCCCACCUCCUGUCACCAAUGGGCCCCUCACUUCACCCAAGCCUAAACCACCCAGCUCUCCUCCCAAGGCCCCAGGACCUCCCCCAAAUAUCCAGCCCCAAUCCAAACCACCUUUUCAAAUGAAACCCACUCAACCCCCUGCACAAGUGCCUCCAUCUGUCUCCGCUAGCCAAGCGACACUUCUCAGUAUCCUGCAAAAGAAGAUGCUAGAGAUGGACCCCAAGUUCUCGGCUGUCAAAGAGGUGGAGAACUAUGGAGAUGACUGGAACUCUCCACUGUCUGAUGAUGAGGCCACGUCGCCCCCUGCCACAUACAAUCCUAUGACAAACCGCAGUGCCACCCUGCCGACGCAAACUCGUGGAGUGGACAUGAAGGAGCUGGAAAGCAAAGCAGCCAAAAAAGCUCAAAAUUUGGCCACUUCAGCUAAAUCCCAGAACAGUAACGGACAAUCAACCAAACAGCAGUUUGGAACAUCAUUCACUGUAAGACCAGGAACCAAACAACCAAUAACACCCGUUAUCAAAGACGGUUCGUCCUGAUUCAGAGAACAUUUCUGAAAGGAAUUAUUCCAGAGACGUGCCUUACCUGUACAUAUGCACCUACCUGACAGACAUUUAAUGUUUUGCACCCGGUCUGGAGCUUUAUUACUGCUGUUGCUGAAGUAUUACUCUAUUAACUUUCACCCUGGAUGUUUCUUCAGCUGUCAGUAUAUUCAGGUUUUGCCGAACUCAUGACCACAGCUUCAUCACGGACUUUCUAGAGCUGCUAAGAUUGAUCAAUGGAACAACUGUGCCUGUAUAUGUUUCAUAAUCUACACGGAAACUCAUUUUAAUGUCAAACCUUUUCAUUUAAUUCAGUUGUUUAAUCCAGUUUCUAAUCAGUUGUUUAAUCAGGUUAGAAAUGAAGAACACCAGUUCUUAAUUGUAACUUCUGCAUACUAUUUUUGAAUGUUUUUAAUCAUGAAUGUACAAUAUUAAUCUAUAGCUCUCGAUAUGAGGGCUUCUUUCAGUGGUGCUGGAUUUUUUCCAGGUCAAAACAUGAUGUAUUUUUAUGAACUUAUAAAAAGUAUACAAUAAGCCUUCAAAUUUGAUCAAAACGCUGUUAUAAAUGGUUGCAAAGCCUUGAACACAUUACUGGUGGUUCUUAUUAAGGAAGAAAAAUGCUUUUGCUGCUUUGCAUAGUUAUUAUUUUAAUCUUAAGCAAGAUUCAAAGAAGAAAUAAUGCAAACUUUGUUUUUGCAUGAAUGUACUGGUUAAAAGUGCCUCUGAAGAAAUAAGCUAGCAUCUGCUACAAACACGUUUUUAUGGAAAUCUCACACAUCUCCACAGGUUUAAUUGUGUGAUAUACGUCAGAGACAAAUGCAAUAGGUCAAUAAUUGUGCUUUAAUAAUCUGUAAAUGUAUUUGUAGGACAAUUGUUGUUUUGGAUAUUUAACCCUUUGUUACCCCUAAAGAAAGAAUAUAACCACAAUACAGUGUAAUAAAAAUAUGCGAGAGCAUAAAUAUACA